UUCCGGUUGAUCCUGCCGGAGGUCAUUGCUAUUGGAGUCCGAUUUAGCCAUGCUAGUUGUACGAGUUUGGACUCGUAGCAGAUAGCUCAGUAACACGUGGCCAAACUACCCUAUAGACCCAGACAACCUCGGGAAACUGAGGCUAAUCUGAGAUACGAUUCCCAUGCUGGAAGUGCAGGGAAUCCGAAACGCUUCGGCGCUGUAGGAUGUGGCUGCGGCCGAUUAGGUAGACGGUGGGGUAACGGCCCACCGUGCCAAUAAUCGGUACGGGUUGUGAGAGCAAGAGCCCGGAGACGGUAUCUGAGACAAGAUACCGGGCCCUACGGGGCGCAGCAGGCGCGAAACCUUUACACUGCACGCCAGUGCGAUAAGGGGACUCCGAGUGCGAGGGCAUAUAGUCCUCGCUUUUCACCACCGUAAGGAGGUGGUAGAAUAAGUGCUGGGCAAGACCGGUGCCAGCCGCCGCGGUAAUACCGGCAGCACGAGUGAUGACCGCUAUUAUUGGGCCUAAAGCGUCCGUAGCUGGCCGUGCAAGUCCAUCGGGAAAUCUGCUCGCCUAACGAGCAGGCGUCCGGUGGAACCUGCAUGGCUUGGGACCGGAAGACCAGAGGGGUACGUCUGGGGUAGGAGUGAAAUCCCGUAAUCCUGGACGGACCACCGGUGGCGAAAGCGCCUCUGGAAGACGGAUCCGACGGUGAGGGACGAAAGCUCGGGUCACGAACCGGAUUAGAUACCCGGGUAGUCCGAGCUGUAAACGAUGUCUGCUAGAUGUGCCACAGGCUACGAGCCUGUGGUGUGUCGUAGGGAAGCCGUGAAGCAGACCGCCUGGGAAGUACGUCCGCAAGGAUGAAACUUAAAGGAAUUGGCGGGGGAGCACUACAACCGGAGGAGCCUGCGGUUUAAUUGGAUUCAACGCCGGGG
rnacentral:rRNA from 1 species